CAACUGCAUUCUUAGUACGGCGAGUGAAGCGGGAAGAGCUCAAAUUUGAAAUCUGGUGGCCUCAGGUCAUCCGAGUUGUAAUCUAUAGAAGUGUUUUCCGUGCUGGCUCAUGUACAAGUCCCUUGGAACAGGGCGUCAUAGAGGGUGAGAAUCCCGUCCUUGACAUGAACUACCAGUGCUCUGUGAUACAUUUUCAACGAGUCGAGUUGUUUGGGAAUGCAGCUCAAAAUGGGUGGUAAAUUCCAUCUAAAGCUAAAUAUUGGCGAGAGACCGAUAGCGAACAAGUACCGUGAGGGAAAGAUGAAAAGCACUUUGGAAAGAGAGUUAAACAGUAUGUGAAAUUGUUGAAAGGGAAACGAUUGAAGUCAGUCGUGCUCUUUGGAUUCAGCCGGUUCUGCCGGUGUACUUCCUUUGAGUGGGGUCAACAUCAGUUUUGAUCGCUGGAUAAAGGCUGGAGGAACGUAGUACCCUCGGGUAAACUUAUAGCCUCCUGUCACAUACAGUGGUUGGGACUGAGGAACGCAGCACGCCUUUAUGGCCGGGAUUCGUCCACGUACGUGCUUAGGAUGUUGACAUAAUGGCUUUAAACGACCCGUCUUGAACCACGGGACCA
rnacentral:rRNA from 1 species